AGCGGUAAGGCCCUUCGGGGUACACGAGCGGCGAACGGGUGAGUAACACGUGGGUGAUCUGCCUCGCACUCUGGGAUAAGCCUGGGAAACUGGGUCUAAUACCGGAUAUGACCUUACAUCGCAUGGUGUUUGGUGGAAAGAUUUAUCGGUGCGAGAUGGGCCCGCGGCCUAUCAGCUUGUUGGUGGGGUAAUGGCCUACCAAGGCGACGACGGGUAGCCGGCCUGAGAGGGCGACCGGCCACACUGGGACUGAGACACGGCCCAGACUCCUACGGGAGGCAGCAGUGGGGAAUAUUGCACAAUGGGCGAAAGCCUGAUGCAGCGACGCCGCGUGAGGGAUGACGGCCUUCGGGUUGUAAACCUCUUUCGACAGGGACGAAGCGCAAGUGACGGUACCUGUAGAAGAAGCACCGGCCAACUACGUGCCAGCAGCCGCGGUAAUACGUAGGGUGCGAGCGUUGUCCGGAAUUACUGGGCGUAAAGAGCUUGUAGGCGGCUUGUCGCGUCGAUCGUGAAAACUUGGGGCUCAACCCCAAGCUUGCGGUCGAUACGGGCAGGCUUGAGUACUUCAGGGGAGACUGGAAUUCCUGGUGUAGCGGUGAAAUGCGCAGAUAUCAGGAGGAACACCGGUGGCGAAGGCGGGUCUCUGGGAAGUAACUGACGCUGAGAAGCGAAAGCGUGGGUAGCGAACAGGAUUAGAUACCCUGGUAGUCCACGCCGUAAACGGUGGGUACUAGGUGUGGGUUUCCUUCCACGGGAUCCGUGCCGUAGCUAACGCAUUAAGUACCCCGCCUGGGGAGUACGGCCGCAAGGCUAAAACUCAAAGGAAUUGACGGGGGCCCGCACAAGCGGCGGAGCAUGUGGAUUAAUUCGAUGCAACGCGAAGAACCUUACCUGGGUUUGACAUACACCGGAAACCUGCAGAGAUGUAGGCCCCCUUGUGGUCGGUGUACAGGUGGUGCAUGGCUGUCGUCAGCUCGUGUCGUGAGAUGUUGGGUUAAGUCCCGCAACGAGCGCAACCCUUAUCUUAUGUUGCCAGCGCGUAAUGGCGGGGACUCGUGAGAGACUGCCGGGGUCAACUCGGAGGAAGGUGGGGACGACGUCAAGUCAUCAUGCCCCUUAUGUCCAGGGCUUCACACAUGCUACAAUGGCCGGUACAGAGGGCUGCGAUACCGUGAGGUGGAGCGAAUCCCUUAAAGCCGGUCUCAGUUCGGAUCGGGGUCUGCAACUCGACCCCGUGAAGUUGGAGUCGCUAGUAAUCGCAGAUCAGCAACGCUGCGGUGAAUACGUUCCCGGGCCUUGUACACACCGCCCGUCACGUCAUGAAAGUCGGUAACACCCGAAGCCGGUGGCCUAACCC
rnacentral:rRNA from 1 species